rnacentral:rRNA from 1 species
CUACGUGCCAGCAGCCGCGGUAAUACGUAUGUCACGAGCGUUAUCCGGAUUUAUUGGGCGUAAAGCGCGUCUAGGUGGUUAUGUAAGUCUGAUGUGAAAAUGCAGGGCUCAACUCUGUAUUGCGUUGGAAACUGUAUAACUAGAGUACUGGAGAGGUAAGCGGAACUACAAGUGUAGAGGUGAAAUUCGUAGAUAUUUGUAGGAAUGCCGAUGGGGAAGCCAGCUUACUGGACAGAUACUGACGCUAAAGCGCGAAAGCGUGGGUAGCAAACAGGAUUAGAUACCCUGGUAGUCCACGCCGUAAACGAUGAGUGCUAGGUGUUAGGCCCUUUCCGGGGCUUAGUGCCGCAGCUAACGCAUUAAGCACUCCGCCUGGGGAGUACGACCGCAAGGUUGAAACUCAAAGGAAUUGACGGGGGCCCGCACAAGCGGUGGAGCAUGUGGUUUAAUUCGAAGCAACGCGAAGAACCUUACCAGGUCUUGACAUCCCUCUGACCGCUCUAGAGAUAGAGUUUUC